rnacentral:rRNA from 1 species
UACGUAGGGUGCAAGCGUUGUCCGGAAUUAUUGGGCGUAAAGAGCUCGUAGGCGGCUCGUCGCGUCGGCUGUGAAAUCCCGAGGCUCAACCUCGGGUCUGCAGUCGAUACGGGCGGACUGGAGUUCGGCAGGGGAGACUGGAAUUCCUGGUGUAGCGGUGAAAUGCGCAGAUAUCAGGAGGAACACCGGUGGCGAAGGCGGUUCUCUGGGCAUGUCCUGACGCUGAGGAGCGAAAGUGUGGGGAGCGAACAGG